UAGGGAAUCUUCGGCAAUGGGGGGAACCCUGUCCGAGCAACGCCGCGUGAGUGAAGAAGGUUUUCGGAUCGUAAAGCUCUGUUGUUAAGGAAGAACGAGUGUGAGAAUGGAAAGUUCAUGCUGUGACGGUACUUAACCAGAAAGGGACGGCUAACUACGUGCCAGCAGCCGCGGUAAUACGUAGGUCCCGAGCGUUGUCCGGAUUUAUUGGGCGUAAAGCGAGCGCAGGCGGUUAGAAAAGUCUGAAGUGAAAGGCAGUGGCUCAACCAUUGUAGGCUUUGGAAACUGUUUAACUUGAGUGCAGAAGGGGAGAGUGGAAUUCCAUGUGUAGCGGUGAAAUGCGUAGAUAUAUGGAGGAACACCGGUGGCGAAAGCGGCUCUCUGGUCUGUAACUGACGCUGAGGCUCGAAAGCGUGGGGAGCGAACAGG
rnacentral:rRNA from 1 species